GGAGAGUCCAGGUUGGCGGUUCCUGGGGCGGGGCCAGGAUAGGGCGAUCCUGGAAGCUGGGCUUCGGAAGCGUGCAGCUGUUGUUCCACACCAGAACCAAAUGAGCGCAAGAUCUGACAAAAAAAAAAGUCCCUGUAUCCUGAGAUGGAGUCACCUGAGAAUCCACAGCAAGUCCUAACCAGGGAUGGGUCUGGGUGAUUAAGGAAGAUUGGCUUCAGAACUGGGCCAGGGGCACUGCUUUGCUUUUGCUGUUUUGAUCAGCUCUCUGCCUGCAGGAGACGAGGAAAACCAAUGGGAACAGGGUCUCUCUCUCUGCCACUCAGGCCAGAGUGCAGUUGACGCAGAGCAGGGGAGCCCUGAAAUGGAGCAUAGUGUGUCCGGAACUGGUGGGUUCUUGGUCUCACUGACUUCAAGAAUGAAGCUGCGGACCCUCGGGAUGAGUGUCACAGUUCUUAAAGGUGGCUUGUCUGGAGUUUGUUCCUUCUGAUGCUCUGAUGUGUUCAGAGUUUCUUCUUUCUGGUGGGUUUGUGGUCUCACUGGCUUCAGGAGUGAAGCUGCAGACCUUCAAGGUGAGUGUUACAGCUCUUAAGGCGGUGCGUCUGGAGUUGUUUGUUCCUCCCGGUGGGUUCAUAGUCUCGCUGGCUUCAGGAGUG
rnacentral:lncRNA from 1 species